UACGUAGGGUGCGAGCGUUGUCCGGAAUUAUUGGGCGUAAAGGGCUCGUAGGCGGUUUGUCGCGUCGGGAGUGAAAACCUCGGGCUUAACUCGGGGCUUGCUUUCGAUACGGGCAGACUAGAGGUAUGCAGGGGAGAACGGAAUUCCUGGUGUAGCGGUGAAAUGCGCAGAUAUCAGGAAGAACACCCGUGGCGAAGGCGGUUCUCUGGGACGGUACUGACGCUGAGACGCGAAAGCGUGGGGAGCGAACAGG
rnacentral:rRNA from 1 species